UGCGGUUGCCAACUCUUGGUGUCGGCGGACAGGUGUGGACUGGCGCCGCACCGAAGAGACUUGCGACCAUGAUCGCGUUUGGACCGGCUAACCACGAAUUGUGUCGCGAUUCAACAAAUAUACGCAUCCACGUGUCCACCCCCUGUGCACCUUCAGGACGAUAGGCUAUGAGUUCUUUGAGCGCAGGCAUACGCUUAUCCGAGGGCCCCCUCCGCUUGACACACCCGCGCUUGCCAGAGGCGUGCGGAUUGAGGAGAGAGUGGAAUGACCCUGCCACCACAGACUCAUAGGAACGUCCCACCUGUCGAGGCACAUGCGGGCAAGCCGUCCAGACACGCCUCCCGUGGCAUCGACGGAAAUGGCAGAUGGUGGCAGCGAGCCCUCCCAGGCAGGAACGUCGUGCUGAAACAGGCCUCCGGAUGCAAGAAUCCGAGUACUGUGCGCACACGCUGCCAAUGACAGCUGACAAGGCGUAUCACAUUCACGCAAGGCAUCGAGAGGUCAGCAGAGCAGGAGUAGUCGACGGAAAAGGCACGAAGAGAUGCAUACCAAUCAGCCCCAAAGUGCAUAUGCGCGGAAUAUGCGGCAUCUUGUACAUCCGACCGGGUGAGCUGAUGAGGCGCAGAUGCCGGAACGAUGACGAGAACAGCCCAAGUUACACCAUCGAGCCCACCAGACCCCGAUGUGAAGAGUCUCCACAACACAUUAUGGAUUGCAGCGGCUUGAGGCGAGUGAGGGCGAUGCAUGGCAUACAGGCUGGGUGCAGGGUCUCAUAGGGCCUUAACCUGAGGCUGGCCAACUUCCUCCUCGGGCCCAUGCGGCAUACGCCUCGACUGCCCUCUACUAUCCGCACGACGGACGCCCGCCGCCUCCGCCCUCGAGCAGGAGCGUGGACGCGGCCCGCUUGGAUCAAGGCGUGCAGCACACCGAAGUCUCCGUCUGGCGCCGAUCGCACAGCACGCAUGCGCAGAAGGGAUGGGGAAGGGCAGGAAGAGCCCGCUGGACGCGUGGCCCGAUUCAAUAGCAGGAUGGUUUCUCCUAGAAGAGCACGAUUUAGCUGUAUUCCAAGAUUGGUAGGUAUAUGCGUAUAUGCGUUUAUACUUGUUGACUUGUCUAUGGGAAAAU
rnacentral:misc_RNA from 1 species